GAAAGGACAUGGCUUGGUGGUAGAGCAUCUGCCUUGCAGGCAGAAGGUCCUUGGUUCAAUCCUCAGCACUUGCA